UACAGAGGCUGCAAGCGUUAUCCGGAAUGAUUGGGCGUAAAGCGUGCGCAGGCGGUUUUGUAAGUCAGCUGUUAAAGCGUUAGGCUCAACCUAAUAAGGGCAGUGGAAACUAUGAGACUAGAGUAUGUUAGGGGUAGAGGGAAUUCCCAGUGUAGCGGUGAAAUGCGUAGAGAUUGGGAAGAACACCGGUGGCGAAAGCGCUCUGCUAGGACAAUACUGACACUGAGGGACGAAAGCUAGGGGAGCGAAUGGG
rnacentral:rRNA from 1 species